ensembl:snRNA U6 U6 spliceosomal RNA
GAUUGCUUCAGCAACACAUAUACUAAAUUGGAACAUUACAGAGAAGAUUAGCAUGGACCCUGCACAAAGAUGAUUUGCAAAUUCAUAAAGCAUUUCAUAUUUUU